rnacentral:rRNA from 1 species
UAGCCGUAAACGAUACUCGCUAGGUGUCGGCCACGGUGCGACCGUUGUCGGUGCCGUAGGGAAGCCGUGAAGCGAGCCACCUGGGAAGUACGGCCGCAAGGCUGAAACUUAAAGGAAUUGGCGGGGGAGCACCACAACGGGUGGUAGCUUGCGGUUUAAUUGGAUUCAACGCCGGAAAUCUUACCGGGACCGACAGCAACAUGAAGGCCAGGCUGAAGACUUUGCCGGAUUAGCUGAGAGGAGGUGCAUGGCGUAGUCGUGU